GGACGGGCAGGUUCGAGGCGCAUCUCUGGGACAAGCACUGCCUGGCCGCGCUCCACAACAAGAAGAAAGGCAGGCAAGUCUACCUGGGGGCGUAUGACAGCGAGGAGGCAUCUGCUCGUGCCUAUGACCUCGCAGCUCUCAAGUACUGGGGUCCUGAGACUCUGCUCAACUU